CAUGCAAGUCGAACGGCAGCACAGAAGAGCUUGCUCUUUGGGUGGCGAGUGGCGGACGGGUGAGUAAUGUCUGGGAAACUGCCCGAUGGAGGGGGGUAACUACUGGAAACGGUAGCUAAUACCGCAUAACGUCGCAAGACCAAAGAGGGGGACCUUCGGGCCUCUUGCCAUCAGAUGUGCCCAGAUGGGAUUAGCUAGUAGGUGGGGUAACGGCUCACCUAGGCGACGAUCCCUAGCUGGUCUGAGAGGAUGACCAGCCACACUGGAACUGAGACACGGUCCAGACUCCUACGGGAGGCAGCAGUGGGGAAUAUUGCACAAUGGGCGCAAGCCUGAUGCAGCCAUGCCGCGUGUAUGAAGAAGGCCUUCGGGUUGUAAAGUACUUUCAGCGGGGAGGAAGGCGAUAAGGUUAAUAACCUUGUCGAUUGACGUUACC
rnacentral:rRNA from 1 species